rnacentral:rRNA from 1 species
UACGGGAGGCAGCAGUGGGGAAUAUUGCACAAUGGGCGCAAGCCUGAUGCAGCCAUGCCGCGUGUAUGAAGAAGGCCUUCGGGUUGUAAAGUACUUUCAGUCGUGAGGAAGGUGUUAAGGUUAAUAACCUUAGCAAUUGACGUUAGCGACAGAAGAAGCACCGGCUAACUCCGUGCCAGCAGCCGCGGUAAUACGGAGGGUGCGAGCGUUAAUCGGAAUUACUGGGCGUAAAGGGCACGCAGGCGGUUAAUUAAGUUGGAUGUGAAAUCCCCGGGCUUAACCUGGGAAUGGCAUUCAAGACUGGUUAGCUAGAGUCUUGUAGAGGGGGUAGAAUUCCAUGUGUAGCGGUGAAAUGCGUAGAGAUGUGGAGGAAUACCGGUGGCGAAGGCGGCCCCUGGACAAAGGCUGACGCCCAUGUGCGAAAGCGUGGGGAGCAAACAGGGAUUAGAUACC